GACGGAGGGUGCAAGCGUUGUUCGGAAUUACUGGGCGUAAAGCGCGCGCAGGCGGUUUUUUAAGUCCAUUGUGAAAUCCCGGAGCUCAACUCCGGAUAUGCAGUGGAUACUGGAAGACUAGAGACCGGUAGAGGCUAGCGGAAUUCCUGGUGUAGCGGUGGAAUGCGUAGAUAUCAGGAGGAACAUCAGUGGCGAAGGCGGCUAGCUGGGCCGGGUCUGACGCUCAUGUGCGAAAGCGUGGGGAGCAAACAGG
rnacentral:rRNA from 1 species